GGGUCAGCUGUCAGUCACUGUGUGACAAGAGGAAACGAUAAGAUGAUCUUUGGAGAAGGAGUUCUGCUCAGAGUUGAAACAGAGCAAGAAGUUGACCCGCAGUACUACAAACUAGGUUCUGAUGAGAGUGAGACCAAGGUUUGUCUGGCAACAGGAUUUACGAGACACAAUGCAACCAAGGACAACAUGCCGGAUGGAACAGAGGCCAGUCAGAUAACAAAAGACGGAAAACCAACAGGUGUCUACAACCAGGUGGCAUUUCUAGAAAGUGACCGAAAAUGUGGAGACAACAGCAUAGUAAAGUCACAAGAGCCGUGUAUCUCCACUCUAGAACCAGAUGAGAUGGUGAACCUGGCCUCUUUGACCAUCUUCGGCCUGAGAGUGAUCUUCAUGAAGACUGUUGUCUUCAAUGUCCUGAUGACGCUGCGGCUGUGGAUCAGUCAGUAAACUGGUCAAAAUGAAGAAACCCUCCUGGAUGGACCUGGUUCUGGAUGAAGCAGAGCUGGAGGAGCUUCGUUCUCUGUAGAUAAAACAUGUUCAGAAGAUCCUGUUAAUAACAUGAUGAGAGCUAAUAUGAAGUUAUUGUGUGAACAUUACUUUUAAAAUCUGUUCCUGAUGAAUGAAUUAUUGUUUCCUUCCUGUUGGUGUAAAUAUUACAGUUAGAAUAUCUAUCAGAAAAAUAUCUUCUGUUUUCAUGAGUGAAACUUCCUGUUUGACUGAAAAUAAAAAUCUCAAACCAAA